rnacentral:lncRNA from 1 species
CUUUUCAAAAUUAUAAUAAAAUGUGUCAUACUAAAACCUUUAAGGAGUGAGUAAGUGGUUUCAUUUUGUUUCAGGGUCACAAUUGGCUUCAAUGUAUAGCCUCGCCAAGCAUUACAGCAGAGAAGCUUUUGUGCAAAGUGAGCGGAGCACCAGAAGAAAUCUUAAAAGUUUGAGAAGAAAAUAUGGUAAAUAACUAAGAGAAAUCUCUGGUCAAUACUCAACAAGUCCUUCAGUCCAACAAUAUUCCAUACAUGAAAUCCUGCCAAAAACCAGGCUGCCUGUUUGAGCUGAGAUGUUGGUCUUCUCCUUCCCUUGGACUGGAAUUUACACCAUCAUCUUCCCUGUUUCUUUGGCCUUUGGUCUCAUACUUGAAUUACCACCAGUUUUUCUGGACUCAGCACCAAACACACGAGAUGAAACAUAAGAUGCAUAAACACAACCCUUGCCUUUGAAGAAAAUUUGCACUAAUGGCAGAGAUGG